UGGGGAAUUUUGGACAAUGGGCGCAAGCCUGAUCCAGCAAUGCCGCGUGCAGGAUGAAGGCCUUCGGGUUGUAAACUGCUUUUGUACGGAGCGAAAAGGUCUGCCCUAAUACGGUGGGCUCAUGACGGUACCGUAAGAAUAAGCACCGGCUAACUACGUGCCAGCAGCCGCGGUAAUACGUAGGGUGCGAGCGUUAAUCGGAAUUACUGGGCGUAAAGCGUGCGCAGGCGGUUAUGUAAGACAGAUGUGAAAUCCCCGGGCACAACCUGGGAACUGCGUUUGUGACUGUAUAGCUAGAGUACGGUAGAGGGGGAUGGAAUUCCACGUGUAGCAGUGAAAUGCGUAGAUAUGCGGAGGAACACCGAUGGCGAAGGCAAUCCCCUGGACCUGUACUGACGCUCAUGCACGAAAGCGUGGGGAGCAAACA
rnacentral:rRNA from 1 species